UCUACAUGAGUUGUAGUUUGUUUUUUAGCAAAAUAUAGCUACUAGGAUGAUCUGGUUAUCAGCUUUAUGCACAAACAUCCAAUAUAAAUUUUCAAGGAGUGACACUGCAAGACCAGCACUGUUUUCCUGCAUAUUUGCAUAUAGUUUCAGUUGAUAUGAUAGUAAACUUGCUCUCAACGACUCUGAUCUUACAAAAUAUUAGGUCUCCUUAGUUCCAAAUAUGGUUUUACAGGUUCUAAAAUAAUUUCUUUGAUGCCAGGUGCCAUGCUGUGGAGAACAAUGAGAGAUUAUCAAGGUGGAGCGAUGGUGAGUGUGGAGCUCAUGAUCAUCAGUUCAUCACCAUGAAGCAGGAGACAUGGUAUAGCUUUGCCAUGGCGAGGUUCUCACCUUCUUUGCGAGUUCUUUGUUGAUAUGCUCGGGCUUAAGACUGUGUUUGCGGCAUCACGGGUAAGUCAAGCUUCAAAAAUGCCCAGUCGUCUAUUCUAUCUUCUAUGCUUUUUGUAUGUGGCAUCGAUAUUUAUUCAAUGGUUCCGAUAUUUAUGUACAAAGCUGGAAAUGGACAGGUAGUACUAUAUAUUACUAUUGGUUGCCCAUAGAGUAGGUCCAUGCAGGUUUCCUUAGUAAUGUAAAGCUGAAAAUAACCAAGGUCUUCUGAAAAUCAGAAACUACUAUACCAGUUUUUCAUGUCUCGGUGAAUCUAGAACAAUCUUAUUAAUUAUUCACAAUUGCAUGUACUAACAAUUAAGGUGUCUCGUUGGCUGAAUGCUGCUGCACUCUAUAAAUAAGUAGAGUGUUCCAUGCAUGGAGGAACUUACCCAAUUCUUGGCAAAGGGAAGUUGAAGAUUCUCUGGCAGAUAAUGUAUUGGUCGGCGUGGACUUCCCCCCUUCUUGCUCUAUUACUGUUGGCUGCAUGAGAAGUACCACAUUUUGUUUCUACACUGGCUUUGAUGAAUUAUUUCUUGAUUUCCUAAAUAAAAGUUAAUUACCCAUAGUUUGCAGCUGGUAUAACCUUGUAAACACGGUGAUGUAUGCCAUUUGUACUUGGUCCUAAAAGUUAUUGUGGAUACAAACCUUUCAGAAAUUGUAGCAUUAUUCGUAGGCUGUGGCAGAACUUUACGAGGCCAAUAGAUAAAGAAAGGCACCUAUUAAGCAGAUAUUAGUCUCGUAUUUUAUAGGGCAAUGCAUUAUAUACUUGAUGUUCUGCAUAUGUGACUGCAACCUAUAUGUUUUUUGUCAUCUCUAUUGGUCAUUUUGCCCAUGUUUUAAAGCAAUUUAAGUGGUGCUUUUGGAAGGUUUUUAUUUUUAAUUGUGUAACGGUGUUUUUGUGACCAAAAAGGCAAAAAGCAUGUGCUGUUGUAUUUCAGUCCCAUGUGAAGUGCAACGUUCAUGUGUGUGAAAGUUUUUAGGAUCUCUCAUAAAUAAUGUUCAGUUUUAGUAUCCAGUUUUUGCUGGUUCUCACGCACCCAGGCGUGCUUCCAGCAUUGCCAUGAAUGCACAUCAAUGGCUACAUCUUGCUUUUGUUGCAGUUGGUACUAUUUUGAUUUGUGAUCCGGUCUAUAAAAAAGGGAUCAAAGAAUAAACCAAUUGGCCAGACUUUGUCGAGGCGACAGUGAUGAAAGAAUAUCAGAUACGUGUCUUCGCCUUCAAGAUUACAAGGGGAAACCAUCGCUCAAUGUCCAUACGCUUUAAAAGGUUAAGGUACAAAAUCGGAAGUGCAUUGUCUAUAAAAGAACAUUUUAUGGUUCAUCUAUCUCACAAACUAUUCACAUCAGGUCAUAUGGAAUGGCACUCAUGGAGUUAAUCGAAAAGGCAGUUGAACCAAGCAUUAGUAUGCCUAACUAUGUCUUCGCAUAGUUUUCCUGUCUUCACAGCCAUUUGGUCUUGCAUUUGCAAUCUCAUUUUCCUACUCUUACUAUUGAACUUAUAUCUAAUUAGUUUUUGUAAUCUCACUGAUGUCCAUACUGAACUUGAUGCUACCUAGCUCAUGGGACGGAUUAAAUGCAAUUAGCUAUUGUAGUCUCAUGACCGUGCUAAACUCAUGAUGCCAUGCUUCUGGUACAGACUACAGAGUGAAUGUUUGUUCUUUC
rnacentral:lncRNA from 1 species